AACGAACGCUGGCGGCAGGCCUAACACAUGCAAGUCGAACGAACCCUUCGGGGUUAGUGGCGGACGGGUGAGUAACACGUGGGAACGUGCCUUUAGGUUCGGAAUAACUCAGGGAAACUUGUGCUAAUACCGAAUGUGCCCUUCGGGGGAAAGAUUUAUCGCCUUUAGAGCGGCCCGCGUCUGAUUAGCUAGUUGGUGAGGAAAUGGCUCACCAAGGCUACGAUCAGUAGCUGGUCUGAGAGGAUGACCAGCCACAUUGGGACUGAGACACGGCCCAAACUCCUACGGGAGGCAGCAGUGGGGAAUCUUGCGCAAUGGGCGAAAGCCUGACGCAGCCAUGCCGCGUGGGUGAUGAAGGUCUUAGGAUUGUAAAAUCCUCUCACCGGUGAAGAUAAUGACUGUAGCCGGAGAAGAAGCCCCGGCUAACUUCGUGCCAGCCGCCGCCGUAAAAC
rnacentral:rRNA from 1 species